AAGGGUAUAGCUCAGUGGCAGAGUGCCUGCUCAGCAUGCACAAGGUCCUGGGUUCAAUCCCCAGUACCUCCC
rfam:Camelus ferus unplaced genomic scaffold scaffold200, whole genome shotgun sequence.